CUAGAUGGGAAUAAGAGGCAGAGCUAGACGGGAGCAGGCUACAGCAGGAGGAUGAGCUGCUGCAGCUUCGGCCAGCCAGGCUUCCUUAGACAUAUGCCAGUUAGAGUCUCCGGAAUCCUGAGUUACAGACAUAUGCCAGUUAGAGUCUCCGGAAUCCUGAGUUACAGAAAGGAAAGCUGCAAGCCUGUCAGACAGAUUGCUGUGUGUGGGAGAGACUUGUGCAGAGCUUAUGCUGUGAUUAAGCAGUGUAAUAUAAGGUAAAAACCAUCUUCAUGAUGAUAUAUCUGAGUUUCUCAUCUCUCUCUGGCUACAUUUUUUACACCCCAAGAAAGUUUGUGUGCAACUGUGAUCCUGUCUGCAAUGCAACACCCCCUCUGCUAAGAUUGCUGGACAUGCUAGAGCACAGCUCCCCUUGUGCCAGCUGAUAUAGUGUGUAGUGUCCAAGAGCAUUAUUGACAAGGUCUGUAGUCAGAGCCUUGGCCUGCAUUUGUUAGGAAUGCAUUUGAAGGAUGUAAUUUCAAGGAUACAGUUAAAACCGGAGUUUGACCUGGAUUUGGACUACUCUAUAAUCCAAAAUGAAACAAUUUGACCAACACUGCAGCUCAGGAUCAUUAUGUGGCUUUUCCUCACCUCUUCCAUGAGAACACCAGGGCCAGGCCUAUUACCCCUCCAGUUAAGAACAUCAGGACUGCCCCCUGGCCUCCCCUCAAGGUGAGCAAAAAGAUGUGGAGGGAGAGUACCAGGACUGGCUCAGUAGGGACAUUAGUGUGCUACCCACAUUCUCAAACCCACCUGUACUGCUCCCUUAAGACCAGGACAUUUAUAAUUUUAGCAAAAUAAUGUUACCCCAAUUUUCCCCCUUCCGUUGGUUACCUUAAAAUGUAUUCUUACCAUAAGUUUUUUGGCGUUUCACAGCGCACUUCCACCCACUGUGUGCUACUGUAACCCAGUAAUGUGUACCUCCACUGACUGCACACCCUGCCAGCAGCAACCUACUCAGUGCAUGCCAGAUGGUUACCUCGGAUGGUUCCUCCACGGGCAGGAUGUAUUUCAUGUGGAUCUUUCUGUACAGGGUAUAUCAUUCUACAAACAAGUGUCAGUUUUCCCAUAUAUGCAUUGAGACCUUAUAUGGCUCACCUCCAAAAGUGUGAUCUGCAUAGUCCACCCAACAUGGCUGCCUCAUCUGGUGUGCUUGUGGAUGGGAUGAACUGACUGUAUUUUUGGGACUCUACUCUAAGCGUUAAGAUUCUGCAAUCAUCCCAUUUUGUGUCAUCUCUUCAAGGGGUCGACUAUUCCACCCAGGGUAAUCCUACACAGUGCGCCCAAGAUGGCUGCCUCACUUGGUACCUUGUGAGGGUGGAAUACACAAUCUGUGGAAGUGUUUACCUGAAAUGCCUGCACCAACCCUGCACUGUGCUUAUAUUGCACUCUACAUUUUCUUUUUUAUGUCUGUAUGGCUUGUCUGUUGCUGUAUACUUAAGUCUGUAAAGUGUCUUGAGUACUGUUGGAGAAAGAGUGCUAUGUAAAUAAAAUUAUUAUUAUUGUUGUUAUUAU